rnacentral:rRNA from 1 species
GGAAGGGGUGUAUUUAUUAGAUAAAAAACCAAUGCCCUUCGGGGCUCUUUGGUGAUUCAUGAUAACCUAACGGAUCGCAUGGCCUUGCGCCGGCGACGGUUCAUUCAAAUUUCUGCCCUAUCAACUUUCGAUGGUAAGGUAUUGGCUUACCAUGGUUUCAACGGGUAACGGGGAAUUAGGGUUCGAUUCCNGAGAGGGAGCCUGAGAAACGGCUACCACAUCCAAGGAAGGCAGCAGGCGCGCAAAUUACCCAAUCCCGACACGGGGAGGUAGUGACAAUAAAUACUGAUACAGGGCUCUUUUGGGUCUAGUAAUUGGAAUGAGUACAAUUUAAACCCCUUAACGAGGAACAAUUGGAGGGCAAGUCUGGUGCCAGCAGCCGCGGUAAUUCCAGCUCCAAUAGCGUAUAUUAAAGUUGUUGCAGUUAAAAAGCUCGUAGUUGAAACUUGGGUCUGGCUAGCGGGUCCGCCUCACCGCGUGCACUUGUCCGGCUGGACCUUUCCUUCUGGAGAACCUCAUGCCCUUCACUGGGUGUGUUGGGGAAACCAGGACUUUUAC